AAACACAUAAGGUCUCCAUAUCCCGUUCGAUAUGAGAGACCACGUUCCCAGUAGGGUUCCUACGGACUCGGUCCGUCCACCAUCUCCCAAGAUAUCUAGUCAGGCUGUCCACAUUUUUCACUUAUCAAUUCACAUAACCUUUUUGCCUUUUUUUCUUAAUCUCAAUCAUCCAAUCAUACACAACAUGUAAAUCAGUAAUUGACACCAAACAAGAAAACACAGUAUCGGGUUCACCAUAAUACAAAUCAUAAUAAAAAAAACCAUGAUUCAUGCAUACGAGACCAUAACAUAAUUACAUCAAACAUCAUGCUGCAUUUAAUACUGAAAAUUAGAUCAAACAAUAACAAACCAACACUGUAUCAGACUCGAGCUCCAUUGGCAACCUCAAUCAAUUAUACAUCUAUAAAGUCUCAAAAUACCGUUUAAUUAUUUAUUAAGCUUUAAUACCGUGAUAGGAAAUAGAGUGAGGGGUCCUUACUUAUUUCAGGGUUUGAAUCGACUCUACAGUGCGCCUAAGAGCUGUCCCUAAUUUUUCUAAAUUUUUUUUUGGAAAACUGAAACGCACUAUCGGUACCUGC
rnacentral:lncRNA from 1 species